CUCUGAACGGUUACACAACAAAGGAUCCAAAAUGGUCCACUACAGAUCGAAAUCUCUCACAAGUAUCCACAUGACACAACUUUUAUUUAUAAGCAAAAAAUAACCACUAAACCCAACUAAAUUGGGAUUGUUAAGCCUUCGACCGUCCCUCUACAUGCUGUGCAAAGCAUGAACAAACCAAAAGACACGGACAUACAUGAGCAUUAUAUUAAACACCCUGUUUACAAUUUUGUCCGUGACAGCACGCCUUAGGGAAUCCCAGCUAAGGAUGUGACAAUACUCUAGAUGAAUGUAUCAAACUUAUCUCUAAGUCUAGAUGUCUAGUGUGGAUAAUAAAGAUUUCAAAAAUCUUUAAUAAGUAAAAAUUGAAGCCAACUACGUAACUCUAUAUAACGAAGGAAAUUUUUCGGCCAAUCCUAACAUGCCUCCAAACUAAAGUUAAAUGUUUUUUCUAUAAUUUCUUUGCUUUCCAAUUCCUUGCAUUAAUUGUUUUACACAAUAUACGUUGUGUCCACAAAUUGCUUUGGUUACUCCAACAUAAGCAAGGUGCUAAAGUAAAAACAAGUUGUAAAUUCCAAAUUUGGGGUCAGCUUGAUUUUUCACACGAAACUCUACUUAGCUCAACUAGUUAAACUGAAAGCGUUCACUCCCAUAUUAUUCCUAGUAAAAACCUUUCAGAUUUUUUCUUCCAUUUAUUAUACCUAAUUGCACUCGUACAUGUAUCCACCUCAAAAUUCUCAUCUCGUCCUACUGCUGACUGAUAGGAUAUUUCCCUUCUUAUAAGUACCCUCUUUCUUCAAGAGAAGGUAUCCUCCAUGAGACAUUUAAUACAGGACAGGAAGAAGAGAAGACAUAAAAAGGAGCAACACAGAUUAUUAGUUUGAUAACUUCAAUUUAAUUAUAUCUUUAGGGCUAACAAGACCUUUAUCUUUAAACACUUUUUCGUGUCCUCUCCCAGACCUAAACAAAAUAGGACUUCAUAGAUUUCAUUAAUUUCACGUCGCCACAAAAUCUCCCAGUUACAAGUCUCUGUAACUCAUAGAAUAUGACUCUAGAUGCAUUAAAAAAUUACCUAUAAGAACAAUAAUUGAAAAUAUAAUAUUUCUAAUCCAAAUUAAACUAAGCCUCAUUUCAUGAUCCAAACAGGACUGGGACCUUUUUUUAUGACCUAAUUUGAUCUUGACAUUGGUCCUAACUUGGAGGAGGAAGAGAUCACUUAUUCGCUUGGAUGAAAGAUGUAAAUCAGAUUGUUGGCGUAUAUCCAACUUUUUGUUGAAGUCUCUCAUCCUGGAUUUUCAAGAUGGUUUACCCAUGACAGUUUGAAGCCUUAACAAGUGCAGCAAAACUUUUAAAUAAAUUUGAUCCGAAUUGGUCAAAAUUUGCACCAUUAAAAACUUUGGAUUAAUCCAAUCCAGGCUACACCAAAUUUUCAUCAUAAUACUAUUUAAAUGAUGAUAACCUAUUGGAUUGGUACAGAAUGAGAUACUGACAUUAUACUACCUUGUACCGCUUGGUAUCAUUGAAUUAAUACAUAAUAAAACUGCAUAGUAUAUCAAGUGUAUCAACAUGUUGAUACAUAUGCUUUGAUGAAAUAUUUCAAACCAUGUAUCAGAGCACGUAAAUAAUUUACUUUUAUUUUGUUCAAAGGAGAGCAACAAUCAUUCAACACUUUGAACUCUCUACAUUAACCAUCAUACUUCAACCUUAUUAAAAAUAUCUUCAUCGAACUCUCCUUCCUGUUGAUUAAUUGAUCCAAUAUAUAAAAAAAUCUAUCAACAGUUUUCGUGCAUCUACUCUUAUCUAUAAGUUACUAAAGCUACAAUAUAUAUAUAUAUAUGUGUGUGUGUGUGUGUGUGUGUGUGUGUGUGUGUGUGUGUGUGUGAGUGUUGUACAUCGAAGUGGUCCAAAACUGGUAUAUAAGUUCAUCUCAGUGGCACAUGUUUAGAGUGUAUUUGAACUCAACUCUAGUAUAUAAAAUAUAUAGCUGUAACAAAUAGCAUACACCACAGAUUGCAAUCUUAUGCAUCUUUGAUAAGGUUACCAUUAUGAUUGCAAAAAUAUAAGACAUAAAGCUCAAAUUUAAUAUAGAUAUUGUUAUACUACUACAUAUCUAUAGUUCUAACACCAUAAACAACUCCAUCAUGCAUAUCCUUAAUCACAUCAAUGUCCAAAUCUAAAGAUGUCCAAAUUUAAUAUAUCUAUACAAAGUAGAUGCAUAAAAUAAUGCAAACAAGGGGCAAAAAUACUCCAAAAGUAAAAAAUUAGUAAGAUUCAUAUUUAGAUAAAAAAGGGGCAUACCCAGUACACAUAGCUCCUGUCAAUGCAAGGUCUAGGAAGGGCCAACGUACACAGCCUUACUUUUAAAGAUUUAUAUUUAGAUCCAAAUACCAUAACCUAGACUAAGCUAGACUUAACCUUGUCCUUAGUCCACAGGCUUGGCUUACAACUGAACUGUCUUAACUCAAAACUUCAUCAACCUUGAGUUCAAAAUUUGAAGCCCAAGGUGGUAGCAGUUGUACCUUACAGUGGCUUGGUAGUUAGUGGACAAUAAAUAUAGUGCCUAAAAUCAUGCAAUUACGUUAUACUAGUAACUAAAUAUUCAAGUAGAAUAGUUUGAAGGGGAUCUCUACCACAUCCCACUGAAGCUGGAGUAUGGCAACAUUUUAGGCAUGUGGGUGGUUUGUCGACCAACUUAAAGACAAUUUGAGACUUCCAAAACAUCAUGGAGCUCAGAAUCAAAAGAAAUACGAGAGUCCAAAGCUGAACACUGCAGGACUUCUAUAUUGACUUAAACGACUUCAUUGACUUGCUUGAUGUUCAACAACCAUGAAGGUAACACUGAUGCACAAGGUGGAAAUAAAAAGAGGAGCUAAAACAAUAAUCCUGAUUCAGCAAGUCAACCAGUCACCAAACCCCACAACUUAAACCAAGUAAUCUUUAGAUCCAUGUGGCGCAUUUAAAUAGGAUUUUCCAAUCCCAAUCCUAAUUGCAAAUCAAAUCAAGAGUCUUGGGAGAGUACCCCAAUCUUGUCAAUAAGUUCCUGUUCCUAAUUAAAUCCUGAUUAUGCGAUAGGAUCUCAAAGGAGUGAAUAUAGUAACACUCAGAAUCCUGAUUCCUGAUAACAAUCAGCAUAGUCCCAUUGGGAGUGAAAUCCAAUAACGUUAUUUGACCGAAACAAGGAAGAGAGAAUACAUGCAAAUUUCUGGGUUAUUUUAAUCAUAUUUUUAUUGCAGCAUAUUGUAAAUAGAAUUAGAGCUUUAAUAGUUCAUGAAUAAGGAGGUUUGAGAGCCCUAAAAAUAUCUUAACACCCAUUCAUUAUCUUUUUGCAAUUUUUCAAUGAUUUUCAAUGAUAAAAUUAGCCUGUUUUAGUAUAUUUAAUCGCUAGAGGCUAUAGUCAACAAAAAAACAUUGUAAACAAUAAACCUAUUAGGGAAAAUGAAACAGAGGUUGCUCUGUGAAAUUGGACUUCUUUUGUAGUCUAGAUAGGGAAUGUGUUUGAGAGUAUUAUUAAUAAGGAAUCCUGUAAGCCCCAAAAGCAUAUCGAGCAUGGAGCUUCUUUUUGUUGUGACUCCAACAAUUUUCAGCAAUUCAAGUAUUUAACUUUUGUUUAAUCUCUGAGAUGAGUUUCUCUUCCUCGAACUAGAGAAACCUGAACUAGAAGGAGCUACUCUGAACAGAAAAAUAAUGGAGAACAAUGCAUUAAAAGAAUAAUAACAUAUAUUUAUUAUAAAAAUUAAUACUAAUCAGGUUAUACAAAGAUAACAAUGUAGCAACUAAUUAUCUAUAAUGUCACACAAAAGCCCAAAAUUUACCCACCUGCAGGAAGAGAGCAACCAAUUCCUGUAUGCUUCUUUGAUCACCAUGUGGUCAAGUGUUAGGUAAUGCAAAAGUAGCAAUACAUUAAUUUCAUGAGAUUUAAGAUUAAUCUAGAAUUCCAUGGCAUCCCCCAUUUAUUAUGACAACUUGUUCCCCAGAGUUCUAACUACCUAUGAUCAAUUCUGACCAGUUUCGAUUAAUUUCCAGCAAAAGGGUGAGAGAUUGGACAAAAUGAGAUCAUCCUUGGUUGAUACGAAUAUAAAUCAUGUGAUGUAUUGCAAUUGACUGAUACAACAAACUAUGUAAAGAAUACACCACAUGUGACCUUGAAUUGUACUAAUCCACUAAUCCCCAUCUCAUGCUUCUGUUUCAAAAUGAUCAUCAAUUAUAGGAAUUCCAAUUGUAGGCAUGUGCCUAGAAGUUAAAAGGGAGAACUGUAUGGAAGAGAGUAAGCAACAAAAUGCAUCAGAAAGUCUACCAAAUAAAGAACUCCUUCAAGUGCAGUAAGAAAAUAUGUAACAAGCACAUGUAUCAUGAUGAAACAUAAAACAGCAGCUGGUGAGUGACUAGGAGGACAAUGCAACAAAAGGUGACCAAGGAAGCCCAAGUACUAAAUGCUAGUAGAAAGGCCCGAAAUGUGUCACUGAAUCUUCCCUUAAAUAAAGCAUUUACUAGUUUCAAACACACCUUGAUGCUGUAGCUCUGGCCUAGAUAUUUAUACAGCCAGUCAACCUUAAGGUUCCAUAAAGCCUUGCCCAAAGACAGGGAUUUAUAAUAAUAUUCAUCAUAAUUAUACUAAUAGCUGACUAGUGAAGCAUUGGUUUUAUUUUCAAGAAAGUUACAAAAAGCAUAAUUAUGGCAUCACCAAACAAAUAAUAAUUAAUAACAUCAGUAUCAUAAGUAAAUUUAAGAGUAACAAAAGCGUAACAUGCAUACUUGAAUAAAUAUAUUCAAAUGCAAAGCAAAAGAUGUAUCUUGUAGAAGCAUUCAUUCAUAUGUAACUACAUAUGGUACACCAACAUAUAUGCAUACAAGUUGAGGUCAUUUGUGCAUCCAUAUGAACAUAGCAAAAGCCAUAUGCCUUAUCAAACAGAGAAAUUAUCGAGCUCUAAGAGCAAAAGAUAUAUCUUGUAGAAGCAUGUAUUAAUAUGUACAAGUUGAGGCGUAUGGUACAUCAACAUAUACAAGUUGAGGUCAUUUAAGCAUCCAUGUGAACAUAGCAAAAGCCACAUGCCUUAUCAAACAGAGAAAUUAUUGAGCCCUAGUACUCAGCUAAUCUGAGUUGCUUAUGAACAAACAACCUUGGCAUCUUGAAAUCUUUCUGAUUGAUUCAGGAAGUUGUGAGAAACAUCAUAUGGAAGCAAACUCAUUCCAUAAAGUUAAUUCAGUUGGAAUAAGAUGAGCAAAAGAAGACCAAUUUACAAAAGAAAACAAAGUGCACUUCCACAAGACUCACAAAGAAGAUGGUAGGAUAGCAUUAAGUGCAAUGAACCUUGUCUCUUGCAUGCAAUGAAGUUAGUUCCAUGAUUUUAACCAUUCAACCACUGAAAAUUUAGAUUAUACACAAGCUUAAGAAUAAAAAAUAAACACUUAUUUCCAAGCGUUCAAUGAAUAAUAUGAACCUUAAUUAACAGAACCUGAUUAAACAUAGCACGUGAAAAUUCAUUUUCCUAUUUUCUGUUUCUAA
rnacentral:lncRNA from 1 species